UUGUACAGUCCUCGUAGCUCAGCACCACUCUGGCCUUGUGCCGACUAUAGAACCUGCAGCACUGCCACCCAAUUGCUAUCGUGAACAGUCUCAUGCCUUCCCUCAUGAAUGGCUAGAAUGGUAUUGAGUGGUAGCAUUUUCUUUCUUUCAUUUAGUUCUAUUUCACUAUAAAUAUAUUUUUCCUAUAUCUUCCCUUUCAAUAGUGCAUCUUCAACUUUCUGGAUUGCCAACCCCAAUAAUAACCUCAUCAAUUGUGCUGCUGCAGGCUCCGAGGUAACGGGUUUCUUGUUU